GAUGAACGCUGGCGGCGCGCCUAACACAUGCAAGUCGAACGAUUAAAGCACCUUCGGGUGUGUAUAAAGUGGCGAACGGCUGAGUAACACGUGGGCAACCUGCCCCUUUCAUUGGGAUAGCCACGGGAAACCGUGGAUAAUACCGAAUACUUCGAGACUUCCGCAUGGAAGACUCGAGAAAGCUCCAGCGGAGAGGGAUGGGCCCGCGGCCUGUUAGCUUGUUGGUGGGGUAACGGCCUACCAAGGCAAUGAUGGGUAGCUGGGUUGAGAGACCGACCAGCCAGAUUGGGACUGAGACACGGCCCAGACUCCUACGGGAGGCAGCAGUGGGGAAUCUUGCACAAUGGGCGAAAGCCUGAUGCAGCGACGCCGCGUGCGGGAUGAAGGCCUUCGGGUUGUAAACCGCUUUCAGCAGGGACGAGGCGAAAGUGACGGUACCUGCAGAAGAAGCCCCGGCUAACUACGUG
rnacentral:rRNA from 1 species